AGCGUAGACGGAUGGACAAGUCUGAUGUGAAAGGCUGGGGCUCAACCCCGGGACUGCAUUGGAAACUGCCCGUCUUGAGUGCCGGAGAGGUAAGCGGAAUUCCUAGUGUAGCGGUGAAAUGCGUAGAUAUUAGGAGGAACACCAGCGGCGAAGGCUGCUUACUGGACGGUAACUGACGUUGAGGCUCGAAAGCGUGGGGAGCAAACA
rnacentral:rRNA from 1 species